GACGAACGCUGGCGGCGUGCUUAACACAUGCAAGUCGAACGAUGAACCCGGAGCUUGCUCCGGCGGAUUAGUGGCGAACGGGUGAGUAACACGUGAGUAACCUGCCCUUUACUCUGGGAUAACUGCUAGAAAUGGUAGCUAAUACCGGAUACGACCCUCGGUGGCAUCACCAGGGGGUGGAAAGAAUUUCGGUCAAGGAUGGACUCGCGGCCUAGCAGCUAGUUGGUGAGGUAACGGCUCACCAAGGCGACGACGGGUAGCCGGCCUGAGAGGGUGACCGGCCACACUGGGACUGAGACACGGCCCAGACUCCUACGGGAGGCAGCAGUGGGGAAUAUUGCACAAUGGGCGCAAGCCUGAUGCAGCAACGCCGCGUGAGGGAUGACGGCCUUCGGGUUGUAAACCUCUUUUAGUAGGGAAGAAGCGAAAGUGACGGUACCUGCAGAAAAAGCACCGGCUAACUACAUGCCAGCCGCCGCCGUAA
rnacentral:rRNA from 1 species